CGAUCACCGAAGUUAAGCUCAGUAGGGCACGGUAAGUACUUGGAUGGGUGACCGCUUCGGAAUACCGUGUGCUGUAGGCA
rfam:Nematostella vectensis strain CH2 x CH6 NEMVEscaffold_90_Cont11745, whole genome shotgun sequence.